GGAGCUGGAGGGGUGUCUCAUUGAAAGUUCGGACGCAGGCCUGGAAAGAGAGCAAGGCCCCUGGCUCCCCUCCUCCCACUGACAUCACCAACACCAUCAUCACCGUCAUUGUCAUCAUCAUCAUCAUCAUUAACCAGAGCACUGCUCACUUCUGCUGGGGUUAGAACCAAGGACUUCACAACUACAGUGAGCUCCAGGAUUCCUUCUGCCUCUCUACUGCCACAUAUACCCACCCUGGGCAGUUCAUACAGGCUGGGAAAUAAGUCGACUUUGUAAAGAACAACUCACCAACUGCUCUGGGUCCACGAACUCAAAGGCAAUCUGGCACGAGGUCUCCAUCUGACUGUCAAUCUGAAAACAAGAACAGCCAGUGAGGGCUGGGAGCCUGCAGCUUGACCAAGCUGGCUUAAGGCUGAACCAUCUGAGUGCAUCCUUAUCUACCAUCUCUACCUUCUGCACUCCAGCCCCUGACCCCCAGGUAUACCUGAAAAGACAGUCAAGGCCAGGGGAAGACCUAUGAUUCCCACUCACCCAGAGGAUGGCUAGGGAAGAGUAAGCCUUCUUCUAACUCUCAUUCCAUAAAUUAUAGCAGGUGCUACUUUGCUCAUCAGGAUUUGCUAAGAGAAGAGUCAGGUUAUAAUUUCCUGUGGGAGGUAGGGAGCCCCCUAUCAAGCAGAAGUUGUGCAAAUUCAGGCAGGGGAGGUAGCAUAAUGGUUAUAUAGAGACUUUCAUGCCUGAGGCUCUCAGGUGCCAGGUUCAGUCCUCCU